UUUUACGGAGAGUUUGAUCCUGGCUCAGGAUGAACGCUGGCGGCGUGCUUAACACAUGCAAGUCGAACGAUGAAGCCCAGCUUGCUGGGUGGAUUAGUGGCGAACGGGUGAGUAACACGUGAGUAACCUGCCCUUAACUCUGGGAUAAGCCUGGGAAACUGGGUCUAAUACCGGAUAGGAGCGUCCACCGCAUGGUGGGUGUUGGAAAGAUUUAUCGGUUUUGGAUGGACUCGCGGCCUAUCAGCUUGUUGGUGAGGUAAUGGCUCACCAAGGCGACGACGGGUAGCCGGCCUGAGAGGGUGACCGGCCACACUGGGACUGAGACACGGCCCAGACUCCUACGGGAGGCAGCAGUGGGGAAUAUUGCACAAUGGGCGCAAGCCUGAUGCAGCGACGCCGCGUGAGGGAUGACGGCCUUCGGGUUGUAAACCUCUUUCAGUAGGGAAGAAGCGAAAGUGACGGUACCUGCAGAAGAAGCAC
rnacentral:rRNA from 1 species